CCUACGGGAGGCAGCAGUGAGGAAUAUUGGUCAAUGGACGAGAGUCUGAACCAGCCAAGUAGCGUGAAGGAUUACUGCCCUAUGGGUUGUAAACUUCUUUUAUAUGGGAAUAAAACGUUCCACGUGUGGGAUUUUGUAUGUACCAUAUGAAUAAGGAUCGGCUAACUCCGUGCCAGCAGCCGCGGUAAUACGGAGGAUCCGAGCGUUAUCCGGAUUUAUUGGGUUUAAAGGGAGCGUAGGGGGAUUGUUAAGUCAGUUGUGAAAGUUUGCGGCUCAACCGUAAAAUUGCAGUUGAAACUGGCAGUCUUGAGUACAGUAGAGGUGGGCGGAAUGCGUGGUGUAGCGGUGAAAUGCUUAGAUAUCACGAAGAACUCCGAUUGCGAAGGCAGUUCACUGGACUGCAACUGACACUGAGGCUCGAAAGUGUGGGUAUCAAACAGGAUUAGAUACCCGGGUAGUC
rnacentral:rRNA from 1 species